UUUAUUUCUGUCUCUUGUCUGGUUGCUCUGGCUAGGAUGUUCAGUACUAUGUCGAAGAGAAGUGACUCCUCUGCUUGCUUAAACUAACAGGGCACCUGCCCCUUGCCAUCGUUUUCAUCUUUUGUUCGGCUCAGUAGGUUACCUAACUGGUGGAUUUUAUUGAGUUAAAUCAAGCUGUCACUUCAUCUGCCUGAAGGAUGACUCAAAUACUACACAUAAUAAUAAAAGAAAAGUAGGAUAAAAUAAUCUUGUCAAGCCAGAAAAACUGAUUGCUUGAAGUUGUAGCCUUCAAUCAAUACACUAAUUCCACAAUUUAUACCUUUUUCAAUUGGAGGGGAAAGAAACCCUGAUAUGGUAUUUCUUGGCUCACUGACCAACUUUGACCUUCUAUCUAUGUGAAUGUAGGAUUAACAAGGAUUUUUGCUUAGUGAAAUCACCUAUGAAAAUAAGAAAACAAACGUGCACAUUUGUGGCUCCAAAUAACUAUUAAUUUCAGAAAUGCAAGAAAUGCCCAGUGUUUAUUUACUAUGUCUACUAAAAUGAAGAUUUUCUUUAGCUCCAGGUGAAUGGCCUUUACUAUUUAAAAAUAAUUUAAAGCUAGAAUCGGUGCAACAAAACACCUUAAAAUUUGGCAUGGUAUAAUCUCCUAAAGAUUUUUUUUCAUUUGAUCUAUUUAUUAAUAGCUUAUGCAAAAGAAUAGAUAACUAAGCAAUAUACCACUCUUUCUUUCAAAUUGUAUACUUGUUUGGUUUCUUACAAAAUCUGUCAUCUAUGGUAAAAUAGUCAUACCAUUCUACUGAGCUAUAGUUAUGAUUUCAUAUGGAGUAUAAUGAACUAUUUUU
rnacentral:lncRNA from 1 species